GAUGCAACGCGAAGAACCUUACCAAGGCUUGACAUGUCGUGAAUCCUCCUGAAAGGGAGGAGUGCCUUCGGGAGCACGAGCACAGGUGGUGCAUGGCUGUCGUCAGCUCGUGUCGUGAGAUGUUGGGUUAAGUCCCGCAACGAGCGCAACCCUCGUUUUUAUUUGCCAUCAUUAAGUUGGGCACUCUAGAGAGACUUCCSGUGACAAACCGGAGGAAGGUGGGGAUGACGUCAAGUCAUCAUGCCCCUUACGCCUUGGGCUACACACGUACUACAAUGGCCGGGACAAAGAGUCGCAAGCAUGCGAAUGCAAGCUAAUCUCAUAAACCCGGUCUUAGUUCAGAUUGCAGGCUGCAACUCGCCUGCAUGAAGGCGGAAUCGCUAGUAAUCGCAGGUCAGCAUACUGCGGUGAAUACGUUCCCGGGCCUUGUACACACCGCCCGUCACACCAUGGAAGCUGGUCACGCCCGAAGUCGUUAUCUCAACCCGCAAGGGAGGGAGGCGCCUAAGGCAGGGCUGGUGACUGGGGUGAAGUCGUAUCAAGGUAACCGU
rnacentral:rRNA from 1 species